CACAACACGCACGUGAGGGGAUAAGCCCCAGGCCACACGUAUCCCCUCGCGCCGCUCCUCUCUCCAACCUGUGGCCGAGACCCCGCUUGCCUCCCUCGAUUCUCCUCUCCUCUCUCCUCUCACUUGCAAGCCCCCAAUCGCCGUCGGCCAGCUCUCCUUUCCUCGACGCUCCCUCCCGAUUCCCUCAGGAGUCACGCCCGAGCGCCCGAGGAGAGGAGCUCCUAGAGCACCGGCGCCCGCCGUCGGCAAGACCAUGGCCAGGAGCUCCCCACGCGCCAUGGAGUUUGCAGAGGACCUCCCCUGCCUCACGCCGCCGCCUCGUUAGCCCCGCGCCCGGAGCGCGCCACUGCGGCACCUCUCAUUCUCCCUCUUUUCCUUUCUUCUCCUCCCUGGAUCGUCCUCACCCCCCACGCAUCUCUCUCCCUCUAUGUGUUCCAGGAAACGGCCAUGGCCGAGCGCCAAGCCGAAUCGAGCUCUGACGCCCUCUGCUAUCCGUCGUGCCGGCCAGCCUCCUCUACGCCGGGGCCCUGCAGCCAUCCAACCGCCUCGGAUCUCGCCGGACCCGUCCGGAUCGGGACUCGCGUUGCCCGCCGAGCUUGCCACCUGCGCUGUCGCUGCCUUCUGUCGAGCAGGAGCUCGUCCGUGGACUCCUCUGCUCCCGUCGACCGAGCGAGCAAAUGCCCAUGACCCCCGUGGAUAGCACCGCAGUGGGUGCACUCUACACUGCGCUGCCGCACUGCUCCCGCUGCCGCCGCCUCGUCUCCCCUCCUUUCUCCAGUUUUUCCUCCCUCCAUCUUCCCGUCUCCUUCCUGACAGGAGCCAGAUGCCAUGAAUUCUCCCGGGAAGUCGCGCUCCGGCCUUAAUCGUCGUCACCGGCGACCCCCGUCCUCACCGCCCGCCUCCGAAUCCUUCCCAGCCCCUGCCGUGCAUGGAUCCGUUCGCUGCAAGCUCCAGCCGUCGCGCCGCCGCCGUUCUGCAGAUCGCGGGUUGAAUAGAUGAAAACACAUGGUCCUGUUUGUAAAUUCGAAACAUUUUUCUGACUGAGUAAAGCGUGUACUGCGGGUUAAUUUCUAAAAAAUAGGGGGACUUUUCUGCAAAACGGCCGGCGACGUACGACCAGAAGCAGUCGCUGCUUUAUUAGUAGGGAAGAUAUAUAUAUAUAUAUAUAUAUAUAUAGGUAAAGAGGUAAAGAGGUAAAGAUAAAGAUUGCAUGAGAGUCUCGAAAUCUCUCUCUAUAUAUCUACGUGAAGUAAUCAGCCUGACAGAUACUUUCACUUGGCAUGCAUGCAGAUGAUGUCGGCCGCCGGAUACGCCAUACCGACGCCAUUCUUGCCGCUGGGGGUGAUGCCGCCGUCGUGCAUGCAGCUGCCUGCUGCAGGCGGGCAGGCGCCGGUGAUGGUCCCUCAGUACCCGGUUUUCCCGGCGGUGUACUCUUGUCCACACCACGGCACGCCGCUGCCGCCAUUGGCGCCGUGUGCUCGUCAUCUUGGUGCCGGCGAGCCGCGGCCGCUUGCUCCUCGCCGUCGCCAUCUCGUCCCAAACGAUUUCACCGUGCCGAGCCACAGCGGGAGAAGCCAGAAAUGACCUACGUACGUGCACCAUCAAUGGAAUCGAAACGAUCGAUCUUAUGGUCUGAACGAUAUGCAUGGCCAGCUAGCAGCAGCGCGCGUGAGGUCGUGUGGUACUACCUCUCUCUCAGUUUACAGGGCGUGGGCGUACCUCUAGGUCGUCAAUUUGAUCAACCUAAUACAAGUCAUAUAUUACAAAAAAUAUACCAACAUAAACUUUGGAGUUUUUACUUUCAAAAGGUAUAAUUUUUGUGUUAUAUAGUUUAUAUUAGGAUGAUAAAAUUGACAACCUAGGUAUACGUGCAUGACUUGUAAACUGAAACGGAGGUAGUAGUACUUACGUGUUUAAUUACUACGGCUUGUUUUAAUUGUAAUUUUUUUUUGCGAUGAAUGUUUCAAUUGUAAUUACUGAGUAAUAAUAGUGGUAGUAGUAGUAGGCAGUAAGAUCAUGUAUUC